ensembl:lncRNA
UAUAUAUAUAUAUAUAUAUAAUAGUAAAUAUACUUACAGUAUAUAAACUUUUUAUAACAGUAUAAUUACUGUCCCCCAGACAUCUAUAACAACUAUAAAAUACUGUAUCAGAAAGACUUUAAGGAGAGUUUAAAAUCCAGGCCAAGCAAGCAAGCAGGAGGCAAAUCAUUUCUCUCUUGGGUUAUUUAUCUUAGUCUCUGUAAAUGCUAUCAAAAUAAUAUAGCAUGCUAAAAUUAUAUAAUAGAAACAAAUAUGAAAAUAAUAUAUUAUAAUGUCCAGUAGUUGUGGCUUUGCUCUCUUUCGAUCUAUAGUACACCACUACAGCCUCUAGGUGGCGCUAAAACACUCCAUGUGGGUUUGUAGAGAGAGGGUUGAUAUAUGCAAUUGUUGAUGUUGUUGCUCCUUGCAUUUGCAUCAUAAAACAUUUCUGAUGACAAUGAUUACAUUGAAGAUGAUACCAUUCGCGUUGAUAUAGAACGCAGAUCUAAUGAAACCAAUCAAGGGUGAUGGCGGACUAACUGUAGAUAGAUAGUGGUAUUGGGUAGACUUAUGGGCAUGGCUGGUGAGACCUAGUCGAGAGAUGGCUUAAUGGGGGUUUGGGGUGCUGUGGACAGGGGGAGUGUCCAAGUCAAGAGAUGGCUUAACGGGGGUUUGGGGUGCUGUGGACAGGGGGAGUGUCCUAGUCAAGAGAUGGCUUAACGGGGGUUUGGGGUGCUGUGGACAGGGGAGUUUGUCCUAGUCAAGAGAUGGCUUAACGGGGGUUUGGGGCGCUGUGGACAGGGGGAGUGUCCUAGUCAAGAGAUGGCUUAACAGGGGAUUCUGGUGCUGUGGACAGGGGGAGUGUCCUGUCUUGUUGUUGUCCUAGGCUCUAAUGCACGAUAGGUUGGAGUAGCUUGCCAGUCAAACCAGUCAGGACCACGAUAGGUUGGAGGAGCUGCCAGUCAAACCAGUCAGGACCACGAUAGGUUGGAGUAGUUUUCCAGUCAAACCAGUCAGGACCACGAUAGGUUGGAGUAGCUUGCCAG